GCUUCCCUUCCUGUGUAUUACAUGUCUAAUAUCCUUUUAAGUAAAUCCACCAUUAAUAAACUCACUUUCAUAAUUAGAAAAUUCUGGUGGACAGGUAUUGAUAAGUAUAAUGCUUCCAAACCUAUCUGCUUUAGGGCUUGGGAUGAUAUUUGCAAACCUAUGCAUAAAGGUGGUCCAGGCAUUAGAGAUCUUUAUACGAUGAAUAAGUAUGUGGUUGCUAUGAUGGCUUGGAGAUUUAUUAAGAGUCCUAAUUCUCUUGUUUCAAAAGUUCUCAAAGCCAAAUAUUUUCAUAACUCUUCUAUUUGGAAAGUGAAUGGCAAUGUUCCUAAAUCUGCUUUCUGGUCCUCUAUUCUCAAAGUUCUUCCUUUCACUAGCAAGGCUAGUCAUACUCAAAUUGCUAUUGGUAAUACUUGUAUUUGGACUAGUCCUUGA
rnacentral:rRNA from 1 species